AUUGAACGCUGGCGGCAUGCCUUACACAUGCAAGUCGAACGGCAGCACGGGAGCUUGCUCCUGGUGGCGAGUGGCGAACGGGUGAGUAAUACAUCGGAACGUACCCAGGAGUGGGGGAUAACGUAGCGAAAGUUACGCUAAUACCGCAUAUUCUGUGAGCAGGAAAGCGGGGGAUCGCAAGACCUCGCGCUCUUGGAGCGGCCGAUGUCGGAUUAGCUAGUUGGUGAGGUAAAAGCUCACCAAGGCGACGGUCCGUAGCGGGUCUGAGAGGAUGAUCUGCCACACUGGGACUGAGACACGGCCCAGACUCCUACGGGAGGCAGCAGUGGGGAAUUUUGGACAAUGGGGGCAACCCUGAUCCAGCCAUGCCGCGUGAGUGAAGAAGGCCUUCGGGUUGUAAAGCUCUUUCGGCGGGGAAGAAAUGGCAACGGCUAAUAUCCGUUGUUGAUGACGGUACCCGCAUAAGAAGCACCGGCUAACUACGUGCCAGCCGCCGCCGUAAGAC
rnacentral:rRNA from 1 species